UCCCUCCCCACCCCACAGCUGGCAGGGUUGUGACCUUCCUACCCCUAAGGGAAGGAACCCCAGGCAAACAGCCUGCAGAGCACAUACAAACCAGAAAGCUUAAACAUUUCCUCCUUUGACCUCCAGCUCACUCAGGCAGCAUAAGUCAAAAGAUGAUCCCCCUGGAUUCUGUCAGACGGGCACCUAAUUGGAGCCAUGGUGAGGUGCUGGACCUGAUCACAAUAUGGGGAGAGAUGAGGAGGACCAUUGCAGCUGCAGGAAAAAGAACUAAAGGAAACCGGCAGAAACAGGCUGUUUGUGAGAUGAUUGCGGCACAGAUGGUGGCACAAGGGCAUCAGCGGGACUGGCUCCAGGUCAGGACCAAGAUAAAGUCCCUGAAAUCCCUCUAUGUGAGGGGCAGGGAUGCCAAGAGGGUGCCUGGGGCAGCCAAGAACAUGAUCCCCUUCCACAAGGAGCUUGCAGACAUCCUUGAGAGGGAUCACGCUGUGACUCCUCGCUGUACAGUCCAGCGCACAGCCUUGGACCAGCAAGAGGGGGAGAGCAGUGAGGCAGCCUCCUCUCAGCACCUGCCUGCUGCCCCCCAAGAAAAUUGUGAGGACCUGGUGUCCUCUGUGGCCCUGAUCCUGAGCCCCAUUGCUGAACCUGGAACGCAGGUGACCCAGGAGGUGGCCCCAGGACAGGAUGGUUGCAAGUCAGAGGUCCCAGAAAGUGAGCACCCUGCAGGAAACCUCUCUGCUCACUUAGCCAGCAUGAGCCAAAAGAUGCCCACCCUGGACUCUGUCAAGCGGGCACCUAAUUGGAGCCGUGAUGAGGUGCUGGACCUGAUCGCUAUAUGGGGAGAGAUGAGGAGAGCCAUUGCAACUGCAGCGAAGGGAACUAAAGGAAACCGGCAGAAUCAGGCCAUUUGUGAGAGGAUUGCGGCACAGAUGGUGUCACGAGGGCAUCAGCGGGACUGGCUCCAGGUUAGGACCAAGAUAAAGUCCCUGAAAUCCCUCUAUGUGAGGGGCAGGGAUGCCAGUAGAGUGCCUGGGGCAGCCAAGAACACGAUCCCCUUCCACAAAGAGAUUGCAGACAUCCUUGAGAGGGAUCACAUUGUGGCUCCUCGCCAUAGAGUCCAGUGCACAGCCUUGGGCCCUUCCUCCUGUGACCAGCAAGAGGGGGACAGCGGUGAGGCAGCCUCCUCCCAUCAGCCAUCUUCUGCCCACCAACGAAGUUGUGAGGACCUGGUGUCCUCCGUGGCCCUGAUCCUGAGCCCCAUCACUGAACCUGGAACACAGGAGACUUGGGAGGUGGCCCCAGGACAGGAUGGUUGCAAGUCAGAGGUCCCAGAAAUCGAGUGCCCUGGAGGAAACCUCUUUGGAAAUCCUACAGAUGAGAGAGGCCUCUGCAUCUAGCAGUGCAGAUGGUGCCACGUGGCCUCAAGCGGACACUUUAGCUCAGAGGAUAUCCCAUAGCCGAAGGUGACAGAGAGAGUACCACAAUCAACUUCUUGAUGACACUGGAGACUCAUCUGCACGCCGAGCAGAGAGCGCUGAGCGUUAGCUUUCUUCCUAUGGGGUCAGGCAGGAAGAGACCGCAUCCACUCUACAGGCUCUUCAGCAGUCUUCUGAGGCUGGGGAGGAGCAGGUAACAUCCUGGUCGUGUGAUGCCGUAGAUGCGUGGAGUCCAUUCUGGUUGAUGUGGCCAUUGCCCCCAAUAGAACAGCCACAACUGUAGAGAAGGCAGCUACUGCCAAGGCCACGGCUGUGGCUUAGGCAGCGAAUGCAGUGGUCAUGGUGGCUGCUGCCACAGUCGUGGCUAUAGAGAGGAUAGCUUCUGCCAUGGAGGAAUACUACUGCACCCGGACAGCAAGGCUGGCCUGUCACCCUCUCUCUGACCACAGGCAUUGGUCCUAGCCUCCAGCUGAGCUGAGCUACCAUGGGGUCUUGCCAUGUCCUCCCAUUUCUGCCUUCCGUCCCUGGCUGGCAAUUGUCCCAAGUGGUUGCUGGAACUAUAGGGAUGCUCCACAGGCAUGCUGGGUGCAUGCCUCCCUACAUUACAUCUGUGAUACUACCACCCCUCCAGGUGACAGGAUGGCAAGCAGGAAGCAUGGGUCUGGCAUGUGCAAAGGAGCAGCGCUUGCCUUCCCUGGGUGGGCAGGGAACACCACUGGCAUCCCAGGUGCUUGCACCCCAGGAAGCACCAUCAAAAGAUAGCUGCUAAGCUUUGAUGACCUGACUCAGUUCCCCAGCAGCGCAGUCAGAAAACUCUGCCACGCAGGUGCAGCUCAGGCUCUGAUUAGGCUCAGGGGAGCUGCAGCCAGCGUGCCACAGUUCUCCCAAGUAGCAGGGGAGGGGGUAGCCAGCCCCCUGGCUAUAUGCCAUGGUUUUAUUUGGCAGGUUGCACCAUAGUUUGCAGCUUGCACGUGCGUGACUUUGUGUUUAUUGGGAACAAAUAAAGUUUGCACUUUUUGGGGGAACA
ensembl:lncRNA